CGGAACAUAACACAAAUUUUCGAAAAAUCACACAAUUUGCGAAAAAAUUCACUUAAUUUUAGAUAAAAUUGACUGAAUUUGUCCCAUUUUUUUUUUCAAACCAAAAUUGCCCGACUGUUGAUCGAAUAUUGCCCCCGCCCGGUACGCCUAUGUGCUAUCAUUUAUUUAUAAGAGACCUUUGAUUGCCCUGCCAAUCGGGAUGAUUCGUAUUUUGGGGGGGUGUAACACCCCCCCAUACCCCCCCUCAAGUUUCGCCCCUGAAUAC